rnacentral:lncRNA from 1 species
UCAAGUGGAUAAGACGUGAUUAUUGUUGAUUGAUUUUGGCAUAUAGGGCUGAACUAAGUGGCAUCCAGUGGUUGUCGUUCCACAUGGUUGUCCCGUCCUUCGUGGCGUUAUUAAGUGGCAUUCAGUGGUUGUCGUUCCACCUGGUUGUCCCGUCCUUCGUGGCGUUAUUAAGUGGCAUUCAGUGGUUGUCGUUCCACAUGUCUGUCCCGUCCUUCGAGGCGUUAUUAAGUGGCAUCCAGUGGUUGUCGUUCCACAUGGUUGUCCCGUCUUGUGAGGCGAUAUUAAGUGGCAUUCAGUGGUUGUCGUUCCACAUGUCUGUCCCGUCUUGAGAGACGUU